rnacentral:rRNA from 1 species
GGAAUUUUCCGCAAUGGGCGAAAGCCUGACGGAGCAACGCCGCGUGAGGGAUGAAGGUUUUCGGAUCGUAAACCUCUGUCAUCAGGGACGAUAAUGACGGUACCUGAUGAGGAAGCCACGGCUAACUACGUGCCAGCAGCCGCGGUAAUACGUAGGUGGCGAGCGUUGUCCGGAAUUACUGGGCGUAAAGGGCGUGUAGGCGGCCUUUUAAGUCAGAUGUGAAAUCUCAGGGCUUAACCCUGAAACUGCAUUUGAAACUGGAGGGCUUGAGGAUCGGAGAGGGCAGUGGAAUUCCCAGUGUAGCGGUGAUAUGCGUAGAUAUUGGGAAGAACACCAGUGGCGAAGGCGACUGCCUGGACGACACCUGACGCUGAGGCGCGAAAGCUAGGGUAGCGAA